UACGUAGGGACCAAGCGUUGUUCGGAUUUACUGGGCGUAAAGGGCGCGUAGGCGGCGUGGUAAGUCACUUGUGAAAUCUCUGAGCUUAACUCAGAACGGCCAAGUGAUACUGCUGUGCUAGAGUGCAGAAGGGGGCAAUCGGAAUUCUUGGUGUAGCGGUGAAAUACGCAGAUAUCAGGAAGAACACCCGUGGCGAAGGCGGCUCUCUGGUACGUGACUGACGCUGAGACGCGAAAGCGUGGGGAGCAAACAGG
rnacentral:rRNA from 1 species